rnacentral:rRNA from 1 species
UUCCACCCUUCCAUCCGUGUGUAUUUGCAACACCGUUUCCUCGGCGGGCGCGCCCGCCGACGGACCCUUGCUAAACGCUUUUUACAACCGUACUUCUGAGCAGCAAUGCAACGAAAUCAAAACUUUCAACAACGGAUCUCUUGGUUCUGGCAUCGAUGAAGAACGCAGCGAAAUGCGAUAAGUAGUGUGAAUUGCAGAAUUCAGUGAAUCAUCGAAUCUUUGAACGCACAUUGCGCCCUUUGGCAUUCCGAAGGGCAUACCUGUUCGAGCGUCAUUGCAACCCCUCAAGCCCCGCUUGGUCUUGGGCCUCUUGUCUGCCCCGGCAGACUGGCCCCAAAAGCAUCGGCGGCGAGUUGGCCCGGCCCCGGAGCACAGUACAUUGCUGCUUGCGGGGGCGGCCGCCCGCGCUGGACAACCUGCAUCUUUCUGACGUUGACCUCGGAUCAGGUAGGGAUACCCGCUGAACUUAAGCAUAUCAAUAAGCGGAGGAAAAGAAACCAACAGGGAUUGCCCUAGUAACGGCGAGUGAAGCGGCAACAGCUCAAAUUUGAAAUCUGGCCCCCGCACGGGGGUCCGAGUUGUAAUUUGUAGAGGGUGCUUCGGCGCGCUGCCUGGGCCUAAGUUCUUUGGAACAAGGCAUCACAGAGGGUGAGAGUCCCGUAUGUGGUCCGAGGCGUGUGCCGUGUGAAGCCCCUUCGACGAGUCGAGUUGUUUGGGAAUGCAGCUCUAAUUGGGAGGUAAAUUUCUUCUAAAGCUAAAUACUGGCCAGAGACCGAUAGCGCACAAGUAGAGUGAUCGAAAGAUGAAAAGCACUUUGGAAAGAGAGUCAAAAAGCACGUGAAAUUGUUGAAAGGGAAGCGCUUGCAGCCAGACUUGCUUGCAGUUGCUCAUCCCGCCCCCGGGCGGGUGCACUCUUCUGCAGGCAGGCCAGCAUCAGUUUGGGCGGCCAGAUAAAGGCCUGGGGAAUGUA